UACACCGGAAAUCGCUCUGUUAACUUCAGUGGGCUGUUGCUUGUGUGUGCGAGACAAAAGAGUAGGGAAAAAGCUACACGCGGGCGCGUUUCUACUCCACUAUAAAUCAAAGAAAUGAUUAUAUCUCUGUGCACAGAUUGCGUUUCUAAAUCCGUGCUUGGAAAAGCGAACAUCAACUCAGAUUAUAUUCCUGAAAUGACGUGAGGACAUGUGGACGGGGUUUGGAUUGGAAUAUGACACGUGCUGUUGAAAGCUGCAUGGUUCAACUUCCGGGAUAGGGAAAAUAUGUGAAGCUUAGAAGAAAGUCUAUAUAAAGAACCAUGUUCUGGUUUAAAGGCUGAGCAUAUAUAGAUGUAUCUGCAGCCUUCUUUGGAUUGAUCUAAUUUGAAGACUUCUGGUUAACAGGUUGACUGAACUUGUAGGCAAAAAGUGAUGAAUCUGAUGCUUCUUCAAUAAACCAUAAACUACAUUACCAAUUGCUUUGGCUUCUGUCUUUUAUCAUGUUUGGUGGCACUGUCUUUGAACCUUUGAAGCCCUCCUCAUGGCUCCAUAGGCCAAGCAACAGUGCAAAAUUAAAGGCUUGUUAUAACUGGGGCUUCUUGGCAUCACAGCCCAAGUUGCUCUUUUAAAUGCAAGCUACAAUUGUUUCCCCAAAAUAAACAUGGUAGAGAAAGUAGUAUUAAAGUAAAAACACGAAGUAAUUUUACCAAAAGCAUUUAUACAUCCCCACACAUUACCAUUGUCACAGUAUGGCUGAACACAAUCACUUAAAACGGCAAUCAUUUUCACAAAGUGCAAAAAGUAUGCUGAGCCGUUGACAUAGAGAAGCACACAGAUCAUUUUACAUUGGACUGAUUUCCACAAACAAUGGCACAGCAGUAUUGUGGUGGGUGUUUUCAAGUUAGCGCAACUGGACAUAGUACUUUGACAUCUUUAUAAUGAACUAUGAAGUGUGUUGAGGAAAGCAACUGAAACACAGAUGUGAUCAUCAUUAGAUAACUGAUUACCAGUCCUGUUGGGUUAUUUUUCUUGUAACUGUGGAUCUGUUUUUCUUUCAUACUCUGUGCUGGUAACCAAUAUCUAGAGAUCUUGGUUAUGGAAUUAUAUUUACAGUAUAUGGACAGUAUGGGAACCUCUGCUUCUUCUAUAACUAUGUUUACAUGCCCAUCAAUAUUCUCAUAUUAAUUGUAAUUUGGUAAUAUUCUAAUUAGUAUUGAGUCAUGUAAAGGCUGCAAUCUGAUUGCCUGAUUCAAAUUAAGUCAAUAUUCUGAUUCCCACCCCUGGAAUAUUCCUGUUUUACUCUGAAAUGUCUUGAAUGUAAACUCCUUAUUCAGAAAAUACACUGAAAGGAGAGGUGUAUGUGCAUGCUCAGUCUGUAAGGAAUUGUGGGUGCUAACAUAUGAUUUGCUGUAGGCUAGGUGUUUAGGAAUGGCAACUCAGGCAUACUUAGAACAACCAUGUAUACAGGAAUAUUCCAAUGCCUGUGCGCAUAUAAAUGUCAUAUUCGGAAUAUGGCCGCAACCCGAACAUAGACCUUAAACGGAAUUUGGUGUGCAUGUAAACGUAGUCAGUGGGUCUUGCAGUGGUGGACAUCAGGAAUUUUCAAAUCCAGUCCAAGAAGUUCAUUGCACUGAAGUUUCAGAUUUUUGCUGCUAAAAAGGAACCAGAUUAUAAUGGUAGGUUAGAUGAGCUUGUGAGCUUGACCAAGAGUGUUUGAAGCAGUUAAAUCUUGCAUUACAGUGGGUGUUCAGGACUAGAGUUGAAAAUCCUUGGUCUGUCCUUCAGUCAUAUCAGCAAAUGUGGCUGCAGACUUUCAGUCCACCCAAAUAGGAGCCACACCUAUUCACUGAUUGGAGAUCAGCAGCUUAAACAAAUGGAACAAGAAGCGUAAUUUAUGCUUGGUUGGAAUGGAAACCUGCAGUCAUACCAGCCUUUUGCAGUUAAGAUUGAACAGCCCUGGUCUACAUGUUCAAUCAAAUCUUUAAAGAAUAGUUACAACUAAUAGUAUGAAACAACACAGUUUUAGUCAACACAAACUGACAACAUUAAAAACAAAUUUUAGAAUCUUUGUAAAUCUUGAAAUCACAUCAACAAAAUAAUCACAUCAUCAUAACAAACCCCAUAAAUUGAGAUGAUCAGGCAAUGACUUAUACAUUCGGAUGGCUUCUCCAUAGUUCACAAUGGCAUAUAAGUCCAUGGUAAAGACAGUUCCAGAAAAGUUAUGGUUGAGAAGUCAAAGUCUACAGAGAGCGCCAUGUUUGUAUGUACUUGAUUAGCCAGCUUGAUUUAGUGCCACUUCUGGGGCAGAUGGGGUAUUAGCUGGUGUCCUUCAACACAGUGAAAUUGAUCUACUUGCAUAAUUGUAUAGACACAGAUGACUCAGGCAGCAAAGAGCGUUGUGAAGGUUGGCGUCUGUAUGGUAUUGGUUAUCCUUGAGAAAGCACAUUUGCACAAAGCAAUUGAUAAUCAUGGCAUACACAAAAUUCCACAAACAUACUUUCACUAGUUUACAUUAUUGAAAGAAUGCUGAAAAUGGCACACACUCAAUUAGGACCAUUUUAAAAUAUCCUAUCAAAAGCCACUAGCAGGGACAGGAUUUGAAAGGAGUGGCAUGGGAUUCUUUCAGUUGGCCUUCCACACUGGCUUGCAAAGGAAUGAGAUAAAAAGCUUCUAACACACCAGUUACCUCCAGUAGUAUAGUACCGAUCACACAAAAGCAGCUUUUAGCUGCAAACAAAUACUCUCAUCAGACACUUGAUUAGGAACACCUGCACAUUCAUACAAUUAUCAAAUCAACCAAAGCUUGACGACAGCGCAACCAAAAAAAAAUCAUCCAGAUACAGGUGAAGAAUUUCACUUCUUGGCUGACAAGUAGAGCCCAAUGUGCUCUUCUGUUGUUGUACCCAUCUACCUUAAGUAGUCUUCCUGCCAGCUCAAACCUGUCUGACCAUUCUUCUCUGACUUCUCUCAACAACAAGGUGUUUCUGCCCACAGAAAUGCAGCUCACUUCAUGUUUUUUUUCCCCCUCAACAUUUUGUGUAACCUUUAGAGACUGUUGUGUGUGAAAAUCCCAGGAGAUCUGCAAUUUCAGAAACACUUAAACUAGCCUAUCUGGCACCAACAACCAUGCCAUGUUCAAAGUCACUGAGAUCACAUUUUUCCCCCAAUACGAUGUUUGAUGUGAACAACUGAAGCGCUUGAUCUGUAUGAUCUGUAUUCACUGCUGCUGCCACAUGAUUGGCUGAUUGAAUAGUUGCAAGAAUGAGCAGGUGUUUCUAAUAAAGUGGUCUGUAAAUGUAUAAGAGGUCUCCAACCCAGAUGUUUGCUGUGGCCAUAGCUGAUUUUAAUCCAAGGUUAACACUGCCAGAACUGCCUCUGCAUGUAAAGCAUUAUUCAGCAGAAUUUAACUCAGUUCAAGGUCUAAUACAAAUGCAUUAGUCUACUAUUAUGCAUUUAGACACACUCAUGUUUCCAACUAAUCUUCAUGUAAGAACAUAAUAUGACAAGUGCCCUUGGUUGACUCCCCAAAGUCUCAAACGAGACUUUUAUCAGCCUUCAAAAGUCAUCCGCAGUUUGUUCAAGG